rnacentral:rRNA from 1 species
GGGUUGUGAGGUUAAGCGACUAAGCGUACACGGUGGAUGCCCUGGCAGUCAGAGGCGAUGAAGGACGUGCUAAUCUGCGAUAAGCGUCGGUGAGGUGAUAUGAACCGUUAUAACCGGCGAUUUCCGAAUGGGGAAACCCAGUGUGUUUCGACACACUAUCAUUAACUGAAUCCAUAGGUUAAUGAGGCGAACCGGGGGAACUGAAACAUCUAAGUACCCCGAGGAAAAGAAAUCAACCGAGAUUCCCCCAGUAGCGGCGAGCGAACGGGGAGGAGCCCAGAGCCUGAAUCAGUGUGUGUGUUAGUGGAAGCGUCUGGAAAGGCGCGCGAUACAGGGUGACAGCCCCGUACACAAAAAUGCACAUACUGUGAGCUCGAUGAGUAGGGCGGGACACGUGGUAUCCUGUCUGAAUAUGGGGGGACCAUCCUCCAAGGCUAAAUACUCCUGACUGACCGAUAGUGAACCAGUACCGUGAGGGAAAGGCGAAAAGAACCCCGGCGAGGGGAGUGAAAAAGAACCUGAAACCGUGUACGUACAAGCAGUGGGAGCCUCUUAAUGGGGUGACUGCGUACCUUUUGUAUAAUGGGUCAGCGACUUAUAUUCUGUAGCAAGGUUAACCGAAUAGGGGAGCCGAAGGGAAACCGAGUCUUAACUGGGCGUUAAGUUGCAGGGUAUAGACCCGAAACCCGGUGAUCUAGCCAUGGGCAGGUUGAAGGUUGGGUAACACUAACUGGAGGACCGAACCGACUAAUGUUGAAAAAUUAGCGGAUGACUUGUGGCUGGGGGUGAAAGGCCAAUCAAACCGGGAGAUAGCUGGUUCUCCCCGAAAGCUAUUUAGGUAGCGCCUCGUGAAUUCAUCUCCGGGGGUAGAGCACUGUUUCGGCAAGGGGGUCAUCCCGACUUACCAACCCGAUGCAAACUGCGAAUACCGGAGAAUGUUAUCACGGGAGACACACGGCGGGUGCUAACGUCCGUCGUGAAGAGGGAAACAACCCAGACCGCCAGCUAAGGUCCCAAAGUCAUGGUUAAGUGGGAAACGAUGUGGGAAGGCCCAGACAGCCAGGAUGUUGGCUUAGAAGCAGCCAUCAUUUAAAGAAAGCGUAAUAGCUCACUGGUCGAGUCGGCCUGCGCGGAAGAUGUAACGGGGCUAAACCAUGCACCGAAGCUGCGGCAGCGACACUAUGUGUUGUUGGGUAGGGGAGCGUUCUGUAAGCCUGUGAAGGUGUGCUGUGAGGCAUGCUGGAGGUAUCAGAAGUGCGAAUGCUGACAUAAGUAACGAUAAAGCGGGUGAAAAGCCCGCUCGCCGGAAGACCAAGGGUUCCUGUCCAACGUUAAUCGGGGCAGGGUGAGUCGACCCCUAAGGCGAGGCCGAAAGGCGUAGUCGAUGGGAAACAGGUUAAUAUUCCUGUACUUGGUGUUACUGCGAAGGGGGGACGGAGAAGGCUAUGUUGGCCGGGCGACGGUUGUCCCGGUUUAAGCGUGUAGGCUGGUUUUCCAGGCAAAUCCGGAAAACCAAGGCUGAGGCGUGAUGACGAGGCACUACGGUGCUGAAGCGACAAAUGCCCUGCUUCCAGGAAAAGCCUCUAAGCAUCAGGUAACAUUAAAUCGUACCCCAAACCGACACAGGUGGUCAGGUAGAGAAUACCAAGGCGCUUGAGAGAACUCGGGUGAAGGAACUAGGCAAAAUGGUGCCGUAACUUCGGGAGAAGGCACGCUGAUAUGUAGGUGAAGCGACUUGCUCGUGGAGCUGAAAUCAGUCGAAGAUACCAGCUGGCUGCAACUGUUUAUUAAAAACACAGCACUGUGCAAACACGAAAGUGGACGUAUACGGUGUGACGCCUGCCCGGUGCCGGAAGGUUAAUUGAUGGGGUUAGCGGUAACGCGAAGCUCUUGAUCGAAGCCCCGGUAAACGGCGGCCGUAACUAUAACGGUCCUAAGGUAGCGAAAUUCCUUGUCGGGUAAGUUCCGACCUGCACGAAUGGCGUAAUGAUGGCCAGGCUGUCUCCACCCGAGACUCAGUGAAAUUGAACUCGCUGUGAAGAUGCAGUGUACCCGCGGCAAGACGGAAAGACCCCGUGAACCUUUACUAUAGCUUGACACUGAACAUUGAGCCUUGAUGUGUAGGAUAGGUGGGAGGCUUUGAAGUGUGGACGCCAGUCUGCAUGGAGCCGACCUUGAAAUACCACCCUUUAAUGUUUGAUGUUCUAACGUUGGCCCGUAAUCCGGGUUGCGGACAGUGUCUGGUGGGUAGUUUGACUGGGGCGGUCUCCUCCUAAAGAGUAACGGAGGAGCACGAAGGUUGGCUAAUCCUGGUCGGACAUCAGGAGGUUAGUGCAAUGGCAUAAGCCAGCUUGACUGCGAGCGUGACGGCGCGAGCAGGUGCGAAAGCAGGUCAUAGUGAUCCGGUGGUUCUGAAUGGAAGGGCCAUCGCUCAACGGAUAAAAGGUACUCCGGGGAUAACAGGCUGAUACCGCCCAAGAGUUCAUAUCGACGGCGGUGUUUGGCACCUCGAUGUCGGCUCAUCACAUCCUGGGGCUGAAGUAGGUCCCAAGGGUAUGGCUGUUCGCCAUUUAAAGUGGUACGCGAGCUGGGUUUAGAACGUCGUGAGACAGUUCGGUCCCUAUCUGCCGUGGGCGCUGGAGAACUGAGGGGGGCUGCUCCUAGUACGAGAGGACCGGAGUGGACGCAUCACUGGUGUUCGGGUUGUCAUGCCAAUGGCACUGCCCGGUAGCUAAAUGCGGAAGAGAUAAGUGCUGAAAGCAUCUAAGCACGAAACUUGCCCCGAGAUGAGUUCUCCCUGACUCCUUGAGGGUCCUGAAGGAACGUUGAAGACGACGACGUUGAUAGGCCGGGUGUGUAAGCGCAGCGAUGCGUUGAGCUAACCGGUACUAAUGAACCGUGAGGCUUAACCUUACAACGCCGAAG